GUGAUAGAGGUGCGACCACGAAAAGUAACCUCUCCCGGAUGCCAAGGCCGGCGGGGGAGGGGAAAGGCGUGUUCGCCGAGGUUCUAAGGGCGGGCCUGACGCCUUUGGGGCCGGGCUGUGGGAGAAGAUCCCUCAGACUGUCGUCCCCUUGGGACGGAGCGCUGUCA
rnacentral:ncRNA from 1 species